AGACGUCUACAUUAGAUACCCGUGUAGUCCCAGCCGUAAACUAUGCGCGUUAGGUGUAUCGAUGACCACGAGUCACCGAGGUGCCGAAGGGAAACCGUGAAACGUGCCGCCUGGGAAGUACGGUCGCAAGGCUGAAACUUAAAGGAAUUGGCGGGGAGCACCACAACGGGUGGAGCCUGCGGUUUAAUUGGACUCAACGCCGGGAAGCUCACCGGAUAAGACAGCGGAAUGAUUGCCGGGCUGAAGACUCUGCAUGACUAGCUG
rnacentral:rRNA from 1 species